UACGGGGGGGGCAAGCGUUGUUCGGAAUUACUGGGCGUAAAGGGCUCGUAGGCGGCCAACUAAGUCAGACGUGAAAUCCCUCGGCUUAACCGGGGAACUGCGUCUGAUACUGGAUGGCUUGAGUUCGGGAGAGGGAUGCGGAAUUCCAGGUGUAGCGGUGAAAUGCGUAGAUAUCUGGAGGAACACCGGUGGCGAAGGCGGCAUCCUGGACCGAUACUGACGCUGAGGAGCGAAAAGCGUGGGUAGCGAACAGG
rnacentral:rRNA from 1 species